rfam:Pan troglodytes isolate Yerkes chimp pedigree #C0471 (Clint) chromosome 3, whole genome shotgun sequence.
AUCACCUGGGGAUCUUGUUAAAAUGCAGAUUCUAAUUCAUUAUUUCUGGGGCUUGAGAAUCUGCAUUUCUAACAAGUUCCCAGGUAAUGCUGU